GUGAAAGUGGAGAGGCAGCCAGGCAGACGUGUUGCAACAGAUGGCUUUACCAGUGGCGGCUCGGCGGCGGCUGCACCGAGGAACUCUGGGACGCCGUUAGACACGGAGCAGAGACAGAGGAAGGGAGAGAAGGGAGGGGUGUUAGAAAGUCACAAGAAAAAGAGACCGAGUGAAACAACUUCUUCUUCUUCCUCUUCCUCCUCCUCGCUCUUCGGCUGCAAACUCACUGUCCUCCUCUGCAGACACAGGAAGACAUGUCAGUGUGAGCACAAGUUCUGCAGCUGAGAGGAGCAACAGUUUCAUGGAGGAGAUGAGUGUUUGAUCUGAGCCUUCAUCCUCCUCCUCCUCCUCCUCCUGCUCUGGGGUCAGAGAGGAGAACACCUGCUGACAGAGAGGAGGUCCUGAGGGAGGAGACCAGCAGCAGCAGCCGCAGGAGGACUGAACACAGCAGGAGACUCCACGCACACUGAGACACACUGCAGGUCCCUGCUGAGCUGAACACACACACACACACUGUGUCACACACUGAGUACACUGCAGAGCGUCUGCUGCACAAGGUAACACACACACACACACACACACACACACACACACACACACACACACAGAGGACCAAUUUGUAAUUAGUGUGUGCGUGAUGAAUUCUUUGGUUUGUGCCUCCCGCAGUCGAGCCGCUACAACGGGUUAGAUACCACAUCCAUCA